rnacentral:rRNA from 1 species
GACGAACGCUGGCGGCGUGCUUAACACAUGCAAGUCGAACGGAAAGGCCCCGCUUUUGUGGGGUGCUCGAGUGGCGAACGGGUGAGUAACACGUGAGUAACCUGCCCUUGACUUUGGGAUAACUUCAGGAAACUGGGGCUAAUACCGGAUAGGAGCUCCUGCUGCAUGGUGGGGGUUGGAAAGUUUCGGCGGUUGGGGAUGGACUCGCGGCUUAUCAGCUUGUUGGUGGGGUAGUGGCUUACCAAGGCUUUGACGGGUAGCCGGCCUGAGAGGGUGACCGGCCACAUUGGGACUGAGAUACGGCCCAGACUCCUACGGGAGGCAACAGUGGGGAAUAUUGCACAAUGGGCGGAAGCCUGAUGCAGCAACGCCGCGUGCGGGAUGACGGCCUUCGGGUUGUAAACCGCUUUCGCCUGUGACGAAGCGUGAGUGACGGUAAUGGGUAAAGAAGCACCGGCUAACUACGU